rnacentral:rRNA from 1 species
GAGUUUGAUCGUGGCUCAGAUUGAACGCUGGCGGCAUGCCUUACACAUGCAAGUCGAACGGUAACAGGUUAAGCUGACGAGUGGCGAACGGGUGAGUAAUGUAUCGGAACGUGCCCAGUCGUGGGGGAUAACUGCUCGAAAGAGCAGCUAAUACCGCAUACGACCUGAGGGUGAAAGCGGGGGAUCGCAAGACCUCGCGCGAUUGGAGCGGCCGAUAUCAGAUUAGGUAGUUGGUGGGGUAAAGGCCUACCAAGCCGACGAUCUGUAGCUGGUCUGAGAGGACGACCAGCCACACUGGGACUGAGACACGGCCCAGACUCCUACGGGAGGCAGCAGUGGGGAAUUUUGGACAAUGGACGCAAGUCUGAUCCAGCCAUGCCGCGUGCGGGAAGAAGGCCUCGGUUGUAACGCUUUGUCAGGAGAAAGGAAUCCUACUAUACUGGGUCUGAUGACGGUACCUGAAGAAUAAGACACCGGCUAACUACGUGCC